UCCUGGUUCUAUGUGUUGUGCCUGGUACUACAGGCUGUGUAUGUUCCUUCACUUAGCUCCAUGCCAUUACUGUGUCCAUGUAAGACGAUUAAAGCACUAAAUAUAAAGUCCUAACAACAAGAUGUGCACCAUGGCUAGGCUCUGAAAGGCAGCUAACCACUUCAAGUAGUAGAUUCUGCAUAUUCUCUACAAAAUUUUACCAGAGAGUAAGCACAGCCUGUCCAUAGGAUUCUUGCUAAAUGAGAUCAUCUUGCUUCCCCCUCAGGUUAAAGACCAAGAAAGGAACAUACUGAUUCCAUCAGCAGGCCCUGGGACUCUGCCAAGGAUGCUUCCCUAGAUGUGAGCAGGACCCAACCCUCUGCUGAGGGCCCAGGCUUUAGAGCCAGACAGCAGCUGGGUUAAAGGGACACAAGGUUUGGAUGUAAGCAAGCUGUUCUGAGCUCAACAAGGCAAUAUUUAUGAGCUUCCCUUGAAUGAAAAUGCACAGGAAAAAUGUUCAUCGCCAACAUGUGUCAAGGAACAGAGUUGUAAAAGACAUUAACCUCUGGGGUAAAAAGCCAUUUCCAAAAGUGUUGAGUACUAAGAAUAUGCCUGUUAUAAGAUAAGAUCUUAAUUUUUUUUUCUUUUUACAGUUUGAGGCCUUUAAUGGAAUUUUGAAAGAUGGGAUUUUUUUUACUCAGAACUUACUCAUAAGGAAGUAACUAGACAAAUCUAAUUGAGGGCCAUUCUGAAAACAAUGGGCCUAGACUUUUGAACCUUGUCAAUGUCAUGAAGGAAAGACUUCUAGAACAUGAGAGGCUAGAGAAACUGGACAAAUAGAUGUCAUAUUUAAUUUUUUUAAUUUAAAAAAAGAAGAAGGAGAGAUGAAUGGGAAGGCAGAGAAAAAAGGAAAAUUUCUACAAAAAGAUUUAUAUAUUUUGUAUAUAAUGUUCAAAUUAUAAGUCCAGUAUAUAUUGGCCAGUCCCUCUUUUCUGGUAUGAUUAAUAUUUCUCUUUGCUGACCAAGUAAGUACCAACUUUGGAAACAAUCAAGAGGCAAUGUGCUCUGUCAACACACAGAGAGUAUGACAUCUCUCUUAAGGUAAACUGCAGAUUUUUGGUGAAAACAAAUUCUUAACAAUAAAGUUAAAGGGUUUGUGAAUAUAAAAAUAUCUUUAAAAGAUUUUUGAAAACACCGAAAUAAAAUUGAUGUUUAAACCUCACUUAAGAGUUUGAUAUAUGAGUUUGGAGUCAGUGCUUAUAAAUGUUGGCCCCUGUUUGAAAAUGGUUAUUCCAGGUCACUGUCAUUGAAUUAGGGAGCUAAAGAAGCAUUUAAUCACUCUUGUUUCCAUGGGUUCACCAACAGCCCAUGUGCAGGUUGCUUUCUACAUUGUAUGGCCCAUGGUGAUCUUUAGAAAUCUCAAUCAUCUUAUGAUUGAGAAGCAAGG